rnacentral:lncRNA from 1 species
UGUUCGCCAGACUCGUCCACGUGCGCCAAAAGAUAGAGAAAGGGUGAGUGAGGGUUGGGGGGUCACGCUCGUGCUCGAAGACCGGGCUGGGGGAGCUAGGGGACCUCUCGUACUCUACGCACGGAUCGGAGUCAUGACUGCGGACAGGGCCCAAUCGGAAUCGCUCACCGGUGUUCGUCAUCGCCGCGUUUCAGCCCCGCGCUAUGGACCGACUCCAUCACCACAAAUUCAUGGGUACGACCGCUUCCGUUGAUGUCACUAGUUAAUCCUUGUGGUGUAGCGUCACGCGGGGGAGGAAGUUACUCCUCGAUGGGACAGGAAUUGCUCAUCGGUGCCACUCCGAUUUCGGUCUGCCGCGGUUCGCUAUGGUCGGGGAGCUGGACAUGACAAUUGGCUAUAGUAGAUUUUCGAGUUCAGGAGGGUCAGGGCGUUGUGCGCUGGCAAUUAAACUUGGAAUCCAAGUCUGGGGGCGUCAGGCGGAGUGCAUCGGUGACCUGCUCCGCCAUAGGGGGGUCUCAGUGGCGCCACCCGGUUGAGUCAGGGGUUAGUGGCGACCCCUAGACUGUCCGGUGUGCCAGCGGAGCAACGGCUGCUUCACGCCAACGGUUGUAUGCAGAGAGCAGUUAAUGCGCUACAGUGCGCGUAGAAGUCAGAGCAGAGCCAGAAGGCGCACCAGAUAGUGAAAAGUGACUUUCCGGUGCACCACCGGACUGUCCGGUGGCCCAGCUGUCAGAAGCUCCAACGGUCAGAACCCAACGGCCGAGUGACAUGGCUGGCGCACCGGACAGUGUCCGGUGGCGCACUGGACUGUCCGGUGCGCCAUGCGACAGCAGCCUCCACCAACGGCUCCUUUGGUAGUUGGGUCUAUAAAUACCCCCAACCACCCACCAUUCAUUGCAUCCAAGUUUUCAGCCUUCACACCUCAUACAAGAGCUAUAGCAUUCAAUACAAGACAUAAACAAGAGAUCAAAUCCUCUCCCAAGUCCAAAGAUCAUUCCAAUCAAAUAGUGACUAGUGAGAGAGACAAUUGUGUUCUUUUAAGCUCUUGCGCUUGGAUUGCUUUUCUUCUUCAUUCUUUCUUGUGUUCAACUCACUUGUAAUCAAAACAAGAGACACCAAGUUGUGGUGGUCCUUGUAGCGGACUUAGUGUCCCAUUUGAUUGAAGAGAAAGGCUCACUCGGUCUAGGUGACCGUUUGAGAGAGGGAAAGGGUUGAAAGAGACCUGGUCUUUGUGACCACCUCAACGGGGAGUAGGUUUGCAAGAACCGAACCUCGGUAAAACAAAUCACCGUGUCAUCCGCCUUAUUUUCUUGUGAUUUGUUUCCGCCCUCUCUUUCGGACUCGUUUAUAUUUCUAACGCUAACCCUGUCUUGUAGUUGUGCUUAAAGUUUGUAAAUUUCAGAUUCGCCAUAUUCACCCCCCUCUAGGCGACUUUCAGUAGGCCCUCUACACUGUGGACGGCUGGUGUGCCGAUGACCUGGGAGAACACGUCGGAGGGCAAGGCCUCGCCUCUGGCAGCUGCUUUGGCCAAUGCGUCGGCCUCCUCGUUCUUGGCUUGGUCCACAUGUUGCAAGGUA